rnacentral:rRNA from 1 species
UACCCAGACUCCUACGGGAGGCAGCAGUGGGGAAUAUUGGACAAUGGGGGGAACCCUGAUCCAGCGACGCCGCGUGAGUGAAGAAGUAUUUCGGUAUGUAAAGCUCUAUCAGCAGGGAAGAAGAUGACGGUACCUGACCAAGAAGCUCCGGCUAAAUACGUGCCAGCAGCCGCGGUAAUACGUAUGGAGCAAGCGUUAUCCGGAUUUACUGGGUGUAAAGGGAGCGCAGGCGGCCUUGCAAGUCUGAUGUGAAAGGCCGGGGCCCAACCCCGGGACUGCAUUGGAAACUGCGAGGCUGGAGUGUCGGAGAGGCAGGCGGAAUUCCUAGUGUAGCGGUGAAAUGCGUAGAUAUUAGGAGGAACACCAGUGGCGAAGGCGGCCUGCUGGACCGCGACUGACGUUGAGGCUCGAAAGCGUGGGGAGCGAACAGGAUUAGAUACCCGAGUA